GACGGAGGGGGCAAGCGUUGUUCGGAAUUACUGGGCGUAAAGGGUUUGUAGGUGGCUUGUUAAGUCAGACGUGAAAUCCCUCAGCUUAACUGGGGAACUGCGUCUGAUACUGGCGAGCUUGAGUGCAGGAGAGGAACGCGGAAUUCCAGGUGUAGCGGUGAAAUGCGUAGAUAUCUGGAGGAACACCGGUGGCGAAGGCGGCGUUCUGGACUGCAACUGACACUGAGAAACGAAAGCCAGGGUAGCAAACGGG
rnacentral:rRNA from 1 species